rnacentral:rRNA from 1 species
UACAGAGGUCCCAAGCGUUGUUCGGAUUCACUGGGCGUAAAGGGUGCGUAGGUGGUGAGGUAAGUCGGAUGUGAAAGCUCCGAGCUCAACUCGGAAAUGGCAUUGGAAACUACCUUGCUAGAGGGUUUGAGGGGGGACUGGAAUACUUGGUGUAGCAGUGAAAUGCGUAGAUAUCAAGCGGAACACCAGUGGCGAAGGCGAGUCCCUGGAAAACUCCUGACACUGAGGCACGAAAGCUAGGGGAGCAAACAGG